GAUGAACGCUGGCGGCGUGCCUAAUACAUGCAAGUCGAGCGAACAGACGAGGAGCUUGCUCCUCUGACGUUAGCGGCGGACGGGUGAGUAACACGUGGAUAACCUACCUAUAAGACUGGGAUAACUUCGGGAAACCGGAGCUAAUACCGGAUAAUAUAUUGAACCGCAUGGUUCAAUAGUGAAAGACGGUUUUGCUGUCACUUAUAGAUGGAUCCGCGCCGCAUUAGCUAGUUGGUAAGGUAACGGCUUACCAAGGCAACGAUGCGUAGCCGACCUGAGAGGGUGAUCGGCCACACUGGAACUGAGACACGGUCCAGACUCCUACGGGAGGCAGCAGUAGGGAAUCUUCCGCAAUGGGCGAAAGCCUGACGGAGCCACGCCGCGUGAGUGAUGAAGGUCUUCGGAUCGUAAAACCCUGUUAUUAGGGAAGAACAAAUGUGUAAGUAACUAUGCACGUCUUGACGGUACCUAAUCAGAAAGCCACGGCUAACUACGUG
rnacentral:rRNA from 1 species